AAAAGAAGGGGUAGAGAAGGGGAAGAGGAGAAGACGAUCUUCGGCGCAUGAAAGCAUAGUCCUUCCUUUGUUGUUUAUAUCUUUGUUACGAGCAUAGGAUAUGGCAAGGCUGAGCAUUGACCAUGACAAGUGAAGGAAUUGACUAAGCUAAUCAUGAAUGACCAUCUAUUCGGGUUUGCUUCUUUCUCUUUACUUGGAGGGGGGUA
rnacentral:lncRNA from 1 species